AAGAACCACUAUGAGAACCGCUCCCGUCCAGUUCGCAAUGCUUCCAAACCGUUGGAUCUCAACGUAUCGUUUAGUCUGUUCCAAAUCAUCGACGUGGAUGAUCGUCAUCAAACAGUGACAGUCGCAGCUUAUCUUGAUGUGUUCUGGCGAGAUGAGAACAUCCACUGGAACCCAGUUGACUAUGA